rnacentral:rRNA from 1 species
CCUACGGGAGGCAGCAGUGGGGAAUAUUGCACAAUGGGGGAAACCCUGAUGCAGCGACGCCGCGUGAGUGAAGAAGUACUUCGGUAUGUAAAGCUCUUUUAGCAGGGAAGAAAAUGACGGUACCUGAUUAAGAAGCCCCGGCUAACUACGUGCCAGCAGCCGCGGUAAUACGUAGGGGGCAAGCGUUAUCCGGAUUUACUGGGGGUAAAGGGAGCGUAGACGGCAGCACAAGUCUGGAGUGAAAUGCCGGGGCUUAACCCCGGACCUGCAUUGGAAACUGUGCAGCUAGAGUGCAGGAGAGGUAGGUGGAAUUCGUAGUGUAGCGGUGAAAUGCGUAGAUAUGAGGAAGAACACC